UAUGUAGAUCCGUAAACAGUUGUUAUUUUCGACGAGCCAUCGAUGUGAAUAUCUGCUGUGAACACAAGAUGGCGCUCUACUACUGUUAUAUGUGUGACUUUGUAAAUAAACUCUACACGAGUAGUCAAACGCUGUUUUAAUUUACUGUCAAAGCGCGCUUAUGUGUUAUUAUGUGUUGAAUGUAGUUUAAUUUGAGGAACUUGACAUCAAUGUCAAAUUUAUUUGUUGAACAAGAAGACUAAUCUCCGCGAAUCAGACCGAGGUGGGUUCUAGCUAGAUGGGAUACAGCUACGGUCUAAAUCUCGCGAGAUGUUGAAUUUAUGGUUUGGUUUAUUGGUAGGAUUAGGAUGAUAACAGCGGUUCUGGCUAGAUGGGAUACAGAUCCCACAUAAAUCUAGCGAAAUUUUGGCUCUAAGGUUAGGUUUGGGUGUAGCAUUAAGGAUGUAGAUAAGGAUGAAAACGGUGCUCAUCUGGCAUGAUUGGUCGUUGCUGUAUCCCUCUAGCCACAACCGCGCGUGCGCUCAUCCGCGGAGUCCCCUCAGCAGCACAACAUCCUGCAGCAAGACUUCUUUAGUCGAGGAAACUGAGGUAAAACUGAGGAAAACAAACGAUUAUCUGCUGAAAUUAAACAUAACUGGAGUCGACAGUGAUCAGACUGAGUGACAGUUCAACUUAAAGUAACACAAAAUAAGAGUUUAAUCAUAAAAAGAGCUGCUGUGUGAGACUGACUGAACAGAUUUAACGAGACAUCAUCAACAAACAUCUUUAUUGUGUCAGAGUCAGGUGGAGGUUUCAGAGGUCAGAUAUCUUCAUCAGUUUGUGUCUGUAGUCACCUUCAGCAUCUCUUAUAAAGAUGCAGAAGAUCCAACCUGAAGCUACAAUUAUCAGGCAACAAACAGCAACACCAAUAGAAAUCAGAAUGACUGUUUUUGCUGUUGUUAUGGUCCUGAAGCUGUGAUCCGAUUGGUCGUCUCUGCUCUAGUGGGUCUGGCUACUGUUGCUGUUUUGGUUCAUGACAUUUAUGGCAUCUCCAGCAAAGAUAAAAAGAAGAAAAAAAUCACAGACACCAUCAGACCAUGACUAAACAAAAUUUUUAUAUAUUGAGUAUACUUCUAUAAGUUUAAGGUUUAAACAUUUGGUUGGUCAGUUAAGCAUGUUCAUGUUGUGUGUCUCUUUACAAAAAA